rnacentral:rRNA from 1 species
CCUAGUGAUUAGAGUUUGAUCAUGGCUCAGAACGUACGCUGGCGGCACGCCUAAUACAUGCAAGUCGAACGAAGUAGCAAUACUUAGUGGCAGACGGGUGAGUAACAUGUAGGUAUCUUCCCAUUGGUGAGGAAUAACACGAGGAAACUUGUGCUAAUACCUCAUAAGUCUUUACGGAGAAAGCUUUAUGCGCCGAUGGAUGAGCCUGCACUUGAUUAGUUUGUUGGUAGGGUAAUGGCCUACCAAGACAAUGAUCAAUAGCUGAUUUGAGAGGAUGAUCAGCCACAUUGGGACUGAGACACGGCCCGAACUCCUACGGGAGGCAGCAGUAGGGAAUCUUGCACAAUGGGGGAAACCCUGAUGCAGCGAUGCCGCGUGAGUGAAGAAGGCCUUUGGGUUGUAAAGCUCUUUCGUCGGGGAAGAAAAUGACUGUACCCGAAUAAGAAGGUCCGGCUAACUUCGUGCCAGCAGCCGCGGUAAUACGAAGGGACCUAGCGUAGUUCGGAAUUACUGGGCUUAAAGAGUUCGUAGGUGGUUAAAAAAGUUGGUGGUGAAAUCCCAGAGCUUAACUCUGGAACUGCCAUCAAAACUUUUUAGCUAGAGUAUGAUAGAGGAAAGCAGAAUCUCUAGUGUAGAGGUGAAAUUCGUAGAUAUUAGAAAGAAUACCAAUUGCGAAGGCAGCUUUCUGGAUCAUUACUGACACUGAGGAACGAAAGCAUGGGUAGCGAAGAGGAUUAGAUACCCUCGUAGUCCAUGCCGUAAACGAUGUGUGUUAGACGUUGGAAAUUUAUUUUCUGUGUCGCAGCGAAAGCAAUAAACACACCGCCUGGGGAGUACGACCGCAAGGUUAAAACUCAAAUGAAUUGACGGGGACCCGCACAAGUAGUGGAGCAUGUGGUUUAAUUCGAAGAUACGCGCAGAACCUUACCAACACUUGACAUGUUCGUCGCGACUUUAAGAGAUUAAAGUUUUCGGUUCGGCCGGACGAAACACAGGUGCUGCAUGGCUGUCGUCAGCUCGUGUCGUGAGAUGUUGGGUUAAGUCCCGCAACGAGCGCAACCCUCACUUUUAGUUGCCAUCAUUAAGUUGGGCACUCUGAAAGAACUGCCAGUGAUAAGCUGGAGGAAGGUGGGGAUGACGUCAAGUCCUCAUGGCCCUUACGUGUUGGGCUACACACGUGCUACAAUGGCAUUUACAAUAGGAAGCAAAACGGCGACGUUAAGCAAAUCCUAAAAAAAUGCCUCAGUUCGGAUUGUACUCAGCAACUCGAGUACAUGAAGCUGGAAUUACUAGUAAUCGCGGAUCAGCGCGCCGCGGUGAAUACGUUCCCGGGUCUUGUACACACCGC